AUGUGACUCAGUUUAAUAUACCAAGCUAGCUAUCUCCUCUCUACCGGCCUUUUUCCCCCUUUCCCCAAUCCUAUCUCCUCUCUCGACUCUCUUUUUCAGUUUCUAGUCACUCUCUCCCACGAGCUCAAGCUCUCGUCAGAUCGUCUCAUCUCCGGUCUCUCACCUCUCGUCUCCGGUCUGUCAAGCUCUCCCUUCUCUGCACUCGCUUCGCCGGCGGCAGAAGCAGACGGAACCGCAUCUGGUCCCUCGGGUGGUGGUGGUUGUCGUCGUCUUCUUGCUUCUCACAGUCUCUGUCUCGCACCUGGUCUCGAUCUCUCCCUUCUCUGCGCUCUUCGUCGCCGGUUGCAGAUGCAACAGAUCCCGGUGAGCUGGUCUUGGUUGUCGUCUUCUUUGCUUCGAGCCUUGCCGUCAGCUUCUCUCUUGCCAUUAGCUUCUCCUUUGCCGUCAGCUUCCUUCGUGCAACCCAAUUCGCGAUCCACCGGUUGAACUAGUGACCCGGUGACCCGGUUGUAUGACCGGGUCAAUUACCGAUUCGGUUCUGAUAACUAUGCUCGAGAGGCAGAGCCUCCUUCUCACUCUCACACUCACAAAUCUGCUACCGCCCACCGCCACCGCAUGAUUUCUUCCACGUCGCCGGCUCCUUUGCGCCACGUCCUGGCUCCUGUGCAUCUCCGGCACUGCGUCAUCACCUCCGUCCAUGAGUCGCCUUCACUGUGUCGUCGCGUAUUCUUUCUCCUGUGCCGUUGUGCGUCUCUUGCCCUGGUCACUUCCUCAUCCGGUAGGGCUCGGGUUGCUGCUGCCUCCCUUGAAUAUGACACAUUCAUACAAGAAUCUUUUACAAGAACUGGUUCAAAAGGAAGGAUUUAGCCUAUCUUCUUAUAUUACAAAAAGUUCAGGCAAGGAUCAUAAUCCGACAUUUGUUGCAUGGGUGAAAGUUAAAGGGGAGGUUUUCCCUGGAAAAGAAGCCAACCAAGAAACAGGCAGAGAUGAAUGCAGCAAAGGUGGCUCUUUCAUUCUUAAAAGAACAAAAAGUAGGUACCUAAUUCAUUGUUUCCCUGCUAGAUCUUCCGAAGACGGCGAAGAGGCCUGAGUCAGAGAGGAAUUAGCAGCAUUCUCUCCUGCAUCUCUUAUUGGUAUGACACACUCAUACAAAAAACUUUUACAAGAACUGGUUCAAAAGGAAGGAUGUAGCCUGCCUUCUUAUAUUACAAAAAGUUCAAGCAAUGAUCAUAAUUCGACAUUUGUCGUACGAGUGAAAGUUAAAGGGGAGGUUUUCCCUGGAGAAGAAGCCAAAACCAAGAAACAAGCAGAGAUAAAUGCGGCAAAGGUUGCUGUUACAAUCUUAAAUGAACAAAAAGACCUUCUGAAGACGGCGAAGAGGGCCGAGUUAGAUAAAUUAGCAGCGUUUUCUCCUGCAUCUCUUGCUGGUCUAGAGCAACUCCUUAAUGACACUUAUGUUAAUCAGAUCCAAGAACCAAUUGAUUAUCACAAGAGAGUCGAUCUAGUUCACAAAUUCAAUAUGAUUUCUCGGAAAAUUUAUGGUAACUAUUUGUUCAUUACUUCCUUCUUUGAUAAUUUGUUUGGAUAUUUCAUAGGAGUUGCGCAGCAUGACUGUAUUUCCACAUUCCCACAUGAAUGGAUGUAAUGCUACUAAUUAUGUAAUCUUUCUUUAACUUAAGUAUCAAUUUUCUUCACAAUUGUGGAAUUGAAUACUAUUUUACUUUUUUUUUUAUUAAAAAAGCAACAUAGGAAAAACAAGUAGUUCUUCGUA